UUGUUCCUUAAUUAGGGACUUGUAUGAAUGGCCCCACGAGGGUUUAACUGUCUCUUACUUUUAAUCAGUGAAAUUGACCUUCCCGUGAAGAGGCGGGAAUUUAUAAUAAGACGAGAAGACCCUAUGGAGCUUAAAUUAAUAUGCUCAACAAAAUUUAAACUCAACCCAACAGGAAUAAUCAUARUUUAACUGAGCAACAAAUUUUGGUUGGGGUGACCUCGGAGUAUAACAAAACCUCCGAGUGAUUUUAACUAAGACAUACUUGUCAAGGUUACAUAACUUAUUGAUCCAAUCAUAUUGAUCAACGAAACAAGUUACCCUAGGGAUAACAGCGCAAUCCUAUUUGAGAGUUCAUAUCGACAAUAGGGUUUACGACCUCGAUGUUGGAUCAGGACA
rnacentral:rRNA from 1 species